rnacentral:rRNA from 1 species
GAUCCUGGCUCAGGAUGAACGCUAGCUACAGGCUUAACACAUGCAAGUCGAGGGGCAGCAUGGUCUUAGCUUGCUAAGACCGAUGGCGACCGGCGCACGGGUGAGUAACGCGUAUCCAACCUGCCUUACACUCUUGGACAGCCUUCUGAAAGGGAGAUUAAUACAAGAUGUUACCAUGAGUAAGCAUUUUCGCAUGAUUAAAGGUUUACCGGUGUAAGAUGGGGAUGCGUUCCAUUAG